rnacentral:rRNA from 1 species
AUUGAACGCUGGCGGCAGGCUUAACACGUGCAAGUCGAGCGGGGUGAUGGUGCUUGCACUAUCACUUAGCGGCGGACGGGUGAGUAAUGCUUAGGAAUCUGCCUAUUAGCGGGGGACAACAUCUCGAAAGGGAUGCUAAUACCGCAUACGUCCUACGGGAGAAAGCAGGGGAUCACUUGUGACCUUGCGCUAAUAGAUGAGCCUAAGUCGGAUUAGCUAGGUGGUGGGGUAAAGGCCUACCAAGGCGACGAUCUGUAGCGGGUCUGAGAGGAUGAUCCGCCACACUGGGACUGAGACACGGCCCAGACUCCUACGGGAGGCAGCAGUGGGGAAUAUUGGACAAUGGGGGGAACCCUGAUCCAGCCAUGCCGCGUGUGUGAAGAAGGCCUUAUGGUUGUAAAGCACUUUAAGCGAGGAGGAGGCUCUUUUGGUUAAUACCCAAGAUGAGUGGACGUUACUCGCAGAAUAAGCACCGGCUAACUCUGUGCCAGCCGCCGCUGUAA